rnacentral:rRNA from 1 species
UACGUAGGUGGCAAGCGUUUGUCCGGAAUUAUUGGGCGUAAAGCGCGCGCAGGCGGUCCUUUAAGUCUGAUGUGAAAGCCCACGGCUCAACCGUGGAGGGUCAUUGGAAACUGGGGGACUUGAGUGCAGAAGAGGAAAGCGGAAUUCCACGUGUAGCGGAUGAAUGCGUAGAGAUGUGGAGGAACACCGGUGGCGAAGGCGGCAUCCUGGACCGAAACUGACGCUGAGGAGCGAAAGCCAGGGAGCAAACGGGA